rnacentral:rRNA from 1 species
AGCAGCCGCGGUAAUUCCAGCUCCAAUAGCGUAUAUUAAAGUUGUUGCAGUUAAAAAGCUCGUAGUUGAAUUUCGGGCCUGGCUGGGCGGUCCGCCUUUUGGGUGAGUACUGCCUGUGGUCGGGUCCUACCUUCUGGCGAAGCGUCAUGGCCUUAACCGGCCGUGGCGGGGAACCAGGACUUUUACUGUGAAAAAUUAGAGUGUUCAAAGCAGGCAGUCGCUUGAAUACAUUAGCAUGGAAUAAUGGAAUAGGACAGUGGUUCUAUUUGUUGGUUUCUAGGACCGUUGUAAUGAUUAAUAGGGAUAGUUGGGGGCAUUAGUAUUCAAUUGUCAGAGGUGAAAUUCUUGGAUUUAUUGAAGACUAACUACUGCGAAAGCAUUUGCCAAGGAUGUUUUCAUUAAUCAAGAACGAAAGUUAGGGGAUCGAAGACGAUCAGAUACCGUCGUAGUCUUAACCAUAAACUAUGCCGACUAGGAAUCGGGCGAUGUUGACAAAAUGACGCGCUCGGCACCUCAUAC